rnacentral:rRNA from 1 species
CCCACGAGCCCUCCAUUUCGUACGGCCUCCCAAAAAUCUCAAUCCAUUGCUUCUUCUUCCCUUCUCUCUCCAAGGGUGGAGGAGGGGGAGGAGGAGGAGGAGAGAGGAGAGAAUUUUCUCUCACGGGCCGGGUUAAGGGGCAUCGGAGCAAGGGAAGGACUCCCACCGCAGAAGUGGCUGCCUCCGUGGCGUCUUUCCUAGAUGGAUUACAUAUCCCCUGAGAGAAGUCUGGAUGGGACUUGUGGAGACCCUGGUCCUUUAUUUGGAGAUCAAGAUGGUUGCUUGUUGGAGCACAUGGAUUAUCAUGGUGAAGGAAUUACACAACCUGAAUCCCCACCACUGAAUGAUGGACUUUUAGUUGACGCAGCCGAUCAAAUUUCAUAUUUGUCUGCAGAUUCUGUACCCUAUAUGAAUGAUCAGAUUAUGUGCAAUACAAUGAAAUCUGCUUCAACUAGUCCAGCAUCUCCCCUGAAGCAAGACGAGGAACAUCAUGUGCAUAUAGAAUCUGAUAUGCAAAACGAUGCAGCUGAACGGAAAGUUCACCAUAAUGAUGACUGUGAAGUACGUACCACUUCUCCGGGUUAUGAUGUGCAUCAGAAUACAGAAGUGGUUGAAGGUGUGCUUCCUCCAGAGCUUCAUGAAAGCAGUGGUAAUGAUAUAUCAAACUUUCAACAAGAAACUACACAUUCUGAUGCCUAUCUUGGCGACUCUAUGUUAGCUGAUAAUAGCAGUAGGGAUUAUCAAUUUAGCAAUAGCGGUGAUGAUGAUGAUGAAAUUCCAAACUCUUCUGCGCCUCAGAUGGGAAAUAAGGACAACAGAAAGUUACAUGAGACUUUCCACAAUGAAGUGAAUGGGACAGAGGAUGAUCAAAUGAAUGGUGGGAAUUCUAAUCCUCAUGAUGAACAUGACAAUGAGAACUUCAACUCUGCAAUUGCACCUUCCUAUUUGGAUGGGAUGGAGCAGGAAGAUCCUGGUACCGAGAAUGGCAUUUCUACGCCUGGCAAUCAGUGGGAUUCUCCACCUGAAAGGUCUGCAGGACUAGAGAAGGGCACACCAUCACCAGCCAGGAGGGUCUCACUUUCAGUAGAAAGGUCACCUCAUGCUCAUUCAUCUGAGAAACUGGACUCACCACAUCAUGCAAAAGAGGGUGAUAAUUUGGCUGACUCUCGAAGCCCACCAGCAAGACAUUGGUCCCAAUCUCCUGGAUCUCCUGAAAACCAUGACACCAACCGUAGAAGAGCUCCCUCACAUGAGUUGUCUCCACAUGCACGGGAUAACUCUCCAGAAAGAAAAGCACAAUAUCGGCGUGGAGAUGGGUCGCCGCGCCGAAGAUCUACAUCCCCUGGAAGAAGAGAUGGGUCACCGCAGCGAAGAUCAGCUUCCCCUAAAAGAAGAGAUGGGUCACCGCGACGAAGAUCAGCUUCGCCUAGAAGAAGACAUGGUUCACCACGCCGAAGAUCUGCAUCCCCUAAAAGAAGAGAUGGGUCACCUCGCAGAAGAUCUCCAUCCCCCAAAAGAAGACAUGGGUCACCACGACGAAGAUCUCCAUCCCCUAAAAGGAGGCAUGGGUCACCACGGCGAAGAUCUCCAUCCCCUAAAAGGAGGCAUGGGUCACCACGGCGAAGAUCUCCAUCUCCUAAAAGAAGAGCCUCGCCCAAGAGGAGGGGUUCACCAAGGAGGAGGGAUUCCCCAACAAGGAGGGAUUCCUCUCCAAGAAGGAGAGACUCACCAAGAAAGAGAGAUUCCUCACCAAGGAGGAGGGAUUCCCCAACAAGGAGGGAUUCCUCUCCAAGAAGGAGAGACUCACCAAGAAAGAGAGAUUCCUCUCCAAGGAGGAGGGAAUCCCCAACAAGAAAGAGGGACUCCCCAACAAGGAAGAGAGAUAGAUCAAAAUCAAGGUCACCAUCAAGGAAAACUGAUUCCUCUAGACAUAAAAGGGAGCAUGGUAGAUCUCGAUCAAGGUCUCCACACUCUAGGAAUCACCAUAGAAGAUCUCCAAGAAGAAGGCAUUCACCAAGGCACAGAUCACCUCCAGCAAGGCAUCAUUCUCCUAAAAGAUGUUGGUCACCACCUGCCAACAGGAAGACUGGAUUGGGUAAGCCUGGGCGGAAUCUGUUUGUUGCAGGUUUUAGCUAUGCCACCACAGAGCGAGAGUUGGAGAAGAAAUUUGCAAAGUUUGGACGUGUAACAAGGGUGCGGGUUGUCCGAGAUAAACGAACUGGAGAUUCUCGAGGCUUUGGAUUUUUAUCCCUGGAGAAGGAUGAGGACGCUGAUGCAGCAAUCCGAGCUUGCGACGAGACUGAGUGGAAUGGUAGGAUCAUUCUUGUGGAGAAGUCCAAGGCACCUGCAUGGUGAAUCUUACACCCUAGAGCUCUGCAAACAAUGCUCUGGGUGGGAGGGACCGACCAGUUUGCACAGCUUUUAUCGUACCAACAGUAUAACAUAAACUAUUAAUUAUCAUUACAUGUGGCAAAGUUUACUUGAACCAGCUCUCUAUGCUGUACUAGGAGUAAGUAAUAAUGCACUUGCUAUGGCUGCCUUGCUGACAAUUAUUGAAGAAUAAGAUUAUAUGCCAAACCUUAGCUUGUUUCAGGGCCCUGCUGCUGAUAAAGAGGGAGUUAGCGGUACACAUUGCUUUUAAUAUCUGCAACCUCUACUACACAUUCAUGACAUUCAUCCUCUUCUUCCUCUGCAUGGUGAUCGAGUGUUUGGCUGGCAGUUCAGUUCAUGGUGAUGCAUGGGCGAAAUUCAGACUUGCGAGGCUGUGUUGGUCAUUUUUAAGUUAGAACAAUAAUUUUAUACGUUUGUAUGUGUUCUGUGUUUUAGGUCGUGGAUACUACUAUAUGUUGGAUAUGGCCCGAUAACUUUUUUGCUGUCUUUUCUUUCUGUCUCUACUCAUGAAUCAGAAAUAUUUUAUGCAAAAAAGAACGACAUUCUGAUCCUU